ACCUAAAGUUUGACGAUUUGAUCCUUCGAUGUCGGCUCUUCCUAUCAUUGCGAAGCAGAAUUCGCCAAGCGUCGGAUUGUUCACCCGCCAAUAGGGAACGUGAGCUGGAUUUAGACCGUUGUGAGACAGGUU
rnacentral:ncRNA from 1 species